AACGGAGGGUGCAAGCGUUGUUCGGAAUUACUGGGCGUAAAGCGCGUGCAGGCGGCUUUUUAAGUUUCGCGUGAAAUCCCCCGGCUUAACCGGGGAACUGCGUGGAAAACUGGAAGGCUUGAAUACGGGAGGAGAGGACGGAAUUCCCAGUGUAGAGGUGAAAUUCGUAGAUACUGGGAGGAACACCGGUGGCGAAAGCGGUUCUCUAGACCGAUAUUGACGCUCAUACGCGAGAGCGUGGGGAGCAAACAGG
rnacentral:rRNA from 1 species